rnacentral:lncRNA from 1 species
AGGAAGUACUGCCUUUGACAUAAUUCUUUUUAUCCCAGAAUCUAGUCAAAGAAGAGGCAACUGGGUGGCAGUCACUGGCUGAGGUGGCAGUUGCUUAGCAUCAUGCACAGGUUCAAGCAUGUAAGUCUCAUGCCCUUUGGGUUCUUUCCAAUGAAGACUGAUCCCUGGCUAUUGGUACCCACACACUUGGAGACACUAACGUUGUGCUAGUCACUGAAGAAAUACAGAGCUAAAAGUUGGACCAACCAUGUCAUCAUUUCACUAUUCAGGAGGCCAUCAGCAGUAAGAUUCUAUGUGGUUGCUUCACUUCAGUGAUUUAAAGGAAACUGCCAGAAGAAUAAAAAAUCAUUUGCAUUCA